rnacentral:rRNA from 1 species
AGUGCUGAAAGCAUCUAAGCAUGAAGCCCCCCUCAAGAUGAGAUUUCCCAACUUCGGUUAUAAGAUCCCUCAAAGAUGAUGAGGUUAAUAGGUUCGAGGUGGAAGCGUGGUGACACGUGGAGCUGACGAAUACUAAUCGAUCGAAGACUUAAUCAA